rnacentral:tRNA from 1 species
GUUGGUAUCGAUUAGGGGUUAAAUCACUUCGUUGUGGAGGACACUUAACCGAAGAGCCGCUGGUUCGAUUCCAGCUACCGACA